ensembl:lncRNA
AUGCAAGGGAGGACUCCAGGUGUUUCUAUCCAGGUGUUUAUUCCCAGAUGUUUAUAUCCAGGUGUUUAUUCCCAGGUAAUUAUUCCCAGGUGUUUAUAUCUAGGUGUUUCUAUCCAGGUGUUUAUUCCCAGGUGUUUAUACCCAGGUGUUUAUAUCCAGGUAUUUAUAUUCAGGUGUUUAUUUCCAGGUGUUUCUAUCCAGGUGUUUCUAUCCAGGUGUUUAUAUCUAGGUAUUUAUUUCCUGGUCUUUCUAUCCAGGUGUUUAUUCCCAUAUGUUUAUAUCCAGGUAUUUAUAUUCAGGUGUUUUCUCUCCAGGUGUUUAUUUCCAGGUGUUCCUAUCCAGGUGUUUCUAUCCCAGUGUUUCUACCCAGGUGUUUUUAUCCAGGAAUUAAUUUCCAGGUGUUUCUAUCCAGGUGUUUCUAUCCAGGUAUUUAUUUCCUGGUCUUUCUAUCCAGGUGUUUCUAUCCAGGUGUUUCUAUCCAGAUAUUUAUAUCCAGCUGCUUAUUCCCAGGUGUUUAUUUCCAGGUGUUUCUAUCCAGGUAUUUAUUUCCUGGUCUUUCUAUCCAGGUGUUUAUUCCCAUAUGUUUAUUUCCAGGUAUUUAUAGUCAGGUGUUUCUCUCCAGGUGUUUAUUUCCAGGUGUUUCUAUCCAGGUGUUUAUUUCCAGGUGUUUUUAUCCAGGUAUUUAUAUCCAGGUAUUUAUUCCCAGGUGUUUCUCUCCAGGUGUUUCUAUCCAGAUAUUUAUUUCCGGGUGUUUCUAUCCAGGUAUUUAUAUCCAGAUGUUUAUUUCCGGGUGUUUAUUCCCAUUUGUUUAUUCCCAGGCGUUUAUUUCCAGGUGUUUCCAUCCAGAUGUUUAUAUCCAGGUGUUUCUAUCCAGAUAUUUAUAUCCAGCUGCUUAUUCUCAGGUGUUUAUUUCCAGGUGUUUCUAUCCAGGUAUUUAUUUCCUGGUCUUUCUAUCCAGGUGUUUCUAUCCAGGUAUUUAUAUCCAGCUGUUUAUAUCCAGGUGCUUAUUCCCAUAUGGUUAUUCCCAGGCAUUUCCAUCCAGAUGUUUCCAUCCAGAUGUUUCUAUCCAGAUGUUUCUAUCCAUGUAUUUCCAGCCCAGAGCCCAGGUAAGCCAAUCUGUGCUGACCUGAGGCAGCUCUGACAUGCUGAGAUUCAGGGCUCAUCCUUUGCCCUCCCCGUCCUGGAGAACUCCAAGCUCUGAUUUCCCAUCUCAUGGAGAACUUGCACCUGCAGCAGGUGGGUUUGGAUUUUACCAGCAGAAAUCCUCAGAGCUGCAGGGCUGGGAGAUCAAACCCCUGGGAUGAAAAAUCCAGCUGGAAAAUCCUUCCCAGCCAAAGGCUGUGUGAGCCUGAGCUCCCCUGUGUUGUUUGGAGUUAUCAGUGCUAUCUUUAUUUGCAGCUGGCUGGGUCAGACCUGCUAAAUCUGGAAACUUGCUCAGAGAAAAGCAGGAGGAAACUGAUAAAAAUAGAAGAUAGGAGCAAUCAGAAGCGAGCAGAACAUUCUUUACAGCUGAUAACUGCUCUUAUCUCGUGUAAUAUUUCUCUGGCAUCCUGUUUCAGUUUUACACGUUGUUAUCACUGAUCCAAACUCGGUCCCCGGGCUGCUGACCCAGCUGCAGCUCAUGUGAAACCUGCAGGGAGCCUUUCUCAGGGGAUGGCUGCAGGGAGCAGCAGCAGCUCAGGAGCCACCAGGAAUGAGGAGGAGCUGCCCUGGGGUGACAUCCAGAGGGACCCGGGCCAGCUCCAGGAGUGCCCAUGGCAAUCCCGUGAGGUUUAACGUGGGCAGCACUUGAGUGGGGAUGACCCUGGGAUGAAUCCAGGCUGGGAUGAGCAGAUGGAGCAGCCCUGGGAGAGCUGGAGCUGCCCAGCCCAGAGCCCCUGUGCCCAGUGUGGGAUCAGGAAAGGGAUUGGGAUUGGGAUUGUGUCCCUGAGCCCCCCCAGGUGUGACCCCACCUGCAGAGCUGCCCCAGCCCUGCCCCAGCCCAGGGAGGAGCUGGAGCUGCUGCAGAGAGCCCAGAGGAGGCAGCAGGAUGAGCAGAGGAUGGAGCAGCUCUGCUGGCAGGAAAGGCUGGCACAGCUGGGAUUGUUCACCUGCACAGGAGAAGCUUUGGGCUGAGCUCAGGGUGGCCUUGCAGGGCCUGAAGGAGCUGCAGGAAACAUGGAGAGAGACAAUUCCCAAGGGAUGGAGGGACAGGACACAGGGAAUGGAGGGACAGGACACAGGGAAUGGAGGGACAGGACACAGGGAAUGGAGGGACAGGACACAGGGAAUGGAGGGACAGGACACAGGGAAUGGAGGGACAGGACACAGGGAAUGGAGGGACAGGACACAGGGAAUGGAGGGACAGGACACAGGGAAUGGAGGGACAGGACACAGGGAAUGGAGGGACAGGACACAGGGAAUGGAGGGACAGGACACAGGGAAUGGAGGGACAGGACACAGGGAAUGGAGGGACAGGACACAGGGAAUGGAGGGACAGGACACAGGGAAUGGAGGGACAGGACACAGGGAAUGGAGGGACAGGACACAGGGAAUGGAGGGACAGGACACAGGGAAUGGAGGGACAGGACACAGGGAAUGGAGGGACAGGACACAGGGAAUGGAGGGACAGGACACAGGGAAUGGAGGGACAGGACACAGGGAAUGGAGGGACAGGACACAGGGAAUGGAGGGACAGGACACAGGGAAUGGAGGGACAGGACACAGGGAAUGGAGGGACAGGACACAGGGAAUGGAGGGACAGGACACAGGGAAUGGAGGGACAGGACACAGGGAAUGGAGGGACAGGACACAGGGAAUGGAGGGACAGGACACAGGGAAUGGAGGGACAGGACACAGGGAAUGGAGGGACAGGACACAGGGAAUGGACACUGCCAGAAAGAAGGCUUCUAUUGGAUCUUGAGAAUUAGGAAUUGUUCCCUGGAAGGGGCUGGGAUGUUGCCAGAGCAGCUGUGGCUGCCCCUGGAUCCCUGGCAGUGCCCAGUUCCAGGCUGGACACUGGGGCUGGAGCAGCCUGGGACAGUGGGAGGUGUCCCUGCCGUGGUUUCUGUUGGAAUGGGAUGAACUUUAAGGUCCUUUCCAACCCAAGCCAGCCUGGGAUUCUGUGAUUUAACCCUGAGCAUCGGGGGUUGAUCCCCAGUUUUUGAUCCCCAGGGAAUUCUCCUGUGGCACAGCCCCCCCAGCUCUGUCCCUGCUCCCACCAUUCCAUUCUCACCCCUCUCCAGGUUUCCCUGCCCCCUCUCCCAGCCCUAUCACCAGCAUCUCUCCCAUUGUUCCAAGGCCUGAGCUCUGCUUCCUCUUUCCUUGUGACCUCCAGCUCCAGUGGCAGCAGGGAUUUCUCAGGGCAUGGACUCAGCAGCUGCUGUGCACGUGAACCUCCAGCCUGGGCUCUUUAUCCAGGCACCUUCAGGGACUUCCAGGACUUUUUUGUCCUGGCAGGGUUUUCUCCAGGCUUUAUUUUCUGCUUCCCACCCAGCAGUGCCAAAGGGAGCUGGGAAAAGGGUGCAGACAAGGAUCUCACCCCAGCCCUGCACCUGCAGGCAGAUCCUUCUCAUUCCACUCUGGAACUUCCCCAUUCCCAGGGACUCGGGGCUGGAUUGGACCCUGAGGCAGAAAACAUCCAAUCCUCCCCGAAAUUUU